rnacentral:rRNA from 1 species
UCAGAAUCAACGCUGGCGGCGUGCCUAACACAUGCAAGUCGAACAAGAAAGGGACUUCGGUCCUGAGUACAGUGGCGCACGGGUGAGUAACACGUGACUAACCUACCCUCGAGUGGGGAAUAACUUCGGGAAACCGAGGCUAAUACCGCAUAAUACCCACGGGUCAAAGGAGCAAUUCGCUUGAGGAGGGGGUCGCGGCCGAUUAGCUAGUUGGCGGGGUAAUGGCCCACCAAGGCAGUGAUCGGUAUCCGGCCUGAGAGGGCGCACGGACACACUGGAACUGAAACACGGUCCAGACUCCUACGGGAGGCAGCAGUGGGGAAUUUUGCGCAAUGGGGGAAACCCUGACGCAGCAACGCCGCGUGGAGGAUGAAGUCUCUUGGGACGUAAACUCCUUUCGAUCGGAACGAUUAUGACGGUACCGGAAGAAGAAGCCCCGGCUAACUUCGUGCCAGCAGCCGCGGUAAUACGAGGGGGGCGAGCGUUGUUCGGAAUUAUUGGGCGUAAAGGGUGCGUAGGCGGUUCGGUAAGUUUGAUGUGAAAUCUUCGGGCUCAACUCGAAGUCUGCAUCGAAAACUGCCGGGCUUGAGUGUGGGAGAGGUGAGUGGAAUUUCCGGUGUAGCGGUGAAAUGCGUAGAUAUCGGAAGGAACACCUGUGGCGAAAGCGGCUCACUGGACCACAACUGACGCUGAUGCACGAAAGCUAGGGGAGCAAACAGGAUUAGAUACCCUGGUAGUCCUAGCCCUAAACGAUGAUCGCUUGGUGUGGCGGGUACCCAAUCCCGUCGUGCCGUAGCUAACGCGUUAAGCGAUCCGCCUGGGGAGUACGGUCGCAAGGCUGAAACUCA